UCGGGAAUUUUGGGCAAUGGGCGAAAGCCUGACCCAGCAACGCCGCGUGAGGGAUGAAGUAUUUCGGUAUGUAAACCUCGAAAGAAUGGGAAGAAUAAAUGACGGUACCAUUUAUAAGCUCCGGCUAACUACGUGCCAGCAGCCGCGGUAAUACGUAGGGAGCAAGCGUUGUUCGGAUUUACUGGGCGUAAAGGGCGCGUAGGCGGCGCGGUAAGUCACUUGUGAAAUCUCUGAGCUUAACUCAGAACGGCCAAGUGAUACGGCUGUGCUAGAGUGCGGAAGAGGCAACCGGAAUUCGUGGUGUAGCGGUGAAAUGCGUAGAUAUCAAGAGGAACACCGGAGGCGAAGGCGGGUUGCUGGGCCGACACUGACGCUGAUGCGCGAAAGCCAGGGAAGCAAACG
rnacentral:rRNA from 1 species